rnacentral:rRNA from 1 species
AAGGAUAUAGUUAAAUUAAAUAUUUGGCGGCUAUUUAUAUUAAAGGGAUUUGCUUAUUAUCGAUUUGCCUCGUUAUUUUUUAUUUAGUUUGUUUUUGUAUACCGUCAUCUAGAUAAUUUUUAUAAAAUUAAUUAUGAUAAUAAUAUACUAUAUAUUAGAUCAAGGUGCAGAUAUAAUUAAUUAUAAGUUAAUGACAAUAAUAUAUUAUUAUACAGAAUUUAUUUAAUUAUUUGAAUAGGCGGAUUUAAAUGUAAUAAAAGUCAUUUGAAAUUAAAUUAAUAGUGUACACAUCGCCCGCAACUCUC